UACGUAGGGCGCGAGCGUUGUCCGGAUUUAUUGGGCGUAAAGAGCUCGUAGGCGGCUUGUCGCGUCGACUGUGAAAACCCGUGGCUCAACCAUGUGGUCUGCAGUCGAUACGGGCAGGCUAGAAUUCGGUAGGGGAGACUGGAAUUCCUGGUGUAGCGGUGAAAUGCAUAGAGAUCCGGAGGAACCCCAGAGGCGAAGGCGGCGCCCUGGCUCGCAACUGACGCUCAGACACGACAGCAUGGGGAGCGAACGGG
rnacentral:rRNA from 1 species